rnacentral:rRNA from 1 species
UACAGAGGUCCCGAGCGUUGUUCGGAUUCACUGGGCGUAAAGGGUGCGUAGGCGGUCGGGUAAGUCUGAUGUGAAAUCUCACAGCUUAACUGUGAAACUGCAUUGGAUACUAUUCGGCUUGAGAGUUGGAGGGGGGACUGGAAUUCUUGGUGUAGCGGUGAAAUGCGUAGAUAUCGGGAGGAACACCAGAGGCGAAGGCGGCGAACUGGACAGUAACUGACACUCAACUGCGAAAGCGUGGGGAGCAAACAGG